rnacentral:rRNA from 1 species
AGAGUUUGAUCAUGGCUCAGAAUCAACGCUGGCGGCGUGCCUCAGACAUGCAAGUCGAACGCGAAAGUCCCCUUCGGGGGAUAAGUAGAGUGGCGCACGGGUGAGUAACACGUAGGUAAUCUACCUUCGGGUGGGGAAUAACCCAGGGAAACUUGGGCUAAUACCGCAUAAUGCAGCGGCAUCACAUGGUGACAGUUGUUAAAGCGGGGGAUCUUCGGAUCUCGCGCCUGAAGAGGAGCCUGCGGCAGAUUAGCUAGUUGGUAAGGUAACGGCUUACCAAGGCGACGAUCUGUAGCCGGCCUGAGAGGGCGGUCGGCCACACUGACACUGACAUACGGGUCAGACUCCUACGGGAGGCAGCAGUCGGGAAUUUUGGGCAAUGGGCGAAAGCCUGACCCAGCAACGCCGCGUGAAGGAUGAAAUCCUUCGGGAUGUAAACUUCGCAAGAAUGGGAAGAAUUAGUAGGGGUUAAUACCCCCUAUGAUGACGGUACCAUUUGUAAGCUCCGGCUAACUCCGUGCCAGCAGCCGCGGUAAUACGGGGGGAGCAAGCGUUGUUCGGAUUUACUGGGCGUAAAGGGCGCGUAGGCGGUCAGCACAAGUCAGUUGUGAAAUCUCCAGGCUUAACUCGGAAAGGUCAACUGAUACUGUGCGACUAGAGUGCGGAAGGGGCAACUGGAAUUCUCGGUGUAGCGGUGAAAUGCGUAGAUAUCGAGAGGAACACCUGCGGCGAAGGCGGGUUGCUGGGCCGACACUGACGCUGAUGCGCGAAAGCCAGGGGAGCGAACGGGAUUAGAUACCCUAGUAGUCC